rnacentral:lncRNA from 1 species
AAUAAAAGAUUACUCUUCAGUCCAUAGGAAACCUAUAAUUUAAGGUAUCAUGUCAUUCAUUUGCUUUCAGAAGAUGUGAUUAUGAUGGAUUGUGCUUUAAAGCAAUCAUACAGCUUCCAUCAGCUGCAUUUACAUGGCUUAUUAUAUGAAUCUUGUCAACCUUCUGGCCUGCUACAUUGUUGCUGUAAAAAAUCUGUCCUCCUAGAAUUCUGUUGCCUGGGAGACACUUACAGGAUUGGAAACAUGUCAACAAACCUGAAGAGAUGUUGGACUUUACUUGGAAAUGUGAAACCUAUGUUUGGUGUCAGGUACAUAGUUUGGAGAAAAAGCUACAAAUACCCUGCAUUCGCCUGGCUACCAACCAACACUGAUCAGCUGCUGCUCGCUAUUCUACAGCCACCUGGUCUUAUUGCUGACAUUUGAAUUUAGAAGGAGUACUUGCUUCUUUCUAAAUAUUCCAGAUAUUAUCCCCUAUUUAUACUGUAUCUGGCUUCAGCAUUGACUGUAACAGAAAUGUCAAAAGCUCCCUGGUUUUUCUAUGAAAUACAAUAAAGUGCUUAGAGGGUCUUGAGGGGUCUGUGGC